GUAAUCAUUUUGAUGAUUUGGAAUACACGACUAGUUCUCCAUUUCAUAGCCCCAAGAUGAUGAUAAUUAAUACUCCCUCCGUCCCGCGAAGCAUGACACGUUUGAGUUCGGCACGGGAAUUAAGGAAUUGUAGAUUAGUGUUUUAAGUGUGUAAUUAAUAAAGUAUAAAAUUGAUAAAGUAGGAGAGAGAAGGUAAUAAAAGUGAUAAAGUAGGUGAGAGAAUAUAAUAAAGGUGAUAAAGUAGGAGAGAGAAUGUAAUAAUUAUUGACAAAAAAGGAAACGUGUCAUGCUUCGUGGGACAACCCAAAAUGGAAAGUGUGUCAUGCUUCGCGGGACGGAGGGAGUAACUUACAGAAAUUUAUAGAUUUCCACUUGAAAUUGAUUCUUUCACACAUUGAAUAAAUAAACCCCAAUUUGUUCGAAAAGAAAAAACUCAAAUUAAUAUUAAAUUCCAUCAUGUUUUCUUUUCAAAUUUUUAGGGCUACGUGAUAAAUUAUAAUUAUUACUAACUUUUUAAUUAUAACCUACAAGGGUGAAAUAGUAUUUUUAUUAAUAUUUUUAAUACUUUAUUAAAUAAGAGGUUACAAAGAGUAAAAUUGGGGCUAUGAAUAGAAUCUCCCUCAAAUUACAGCUCACAAUUUAGAACUAUCCCAAGAAAUAAAAUGAAUUAAUCUGGGCAUAAAAUUAAAUGUACUCAGCCCAACGUGGCCCAAAUGAAAUAAUUCAUAUAAGGUUUCAGCCCAUUACAACAUAACCUAAAAUCAGUUCAAGGAAUAAAAUAAAACAAAAGAUCUCAAAUGAAAUGAAUUAACCAAAGCCCAAUCCUUCUCCCCUAACAAUCGGUUCUCUCUCAUUCUCUCUCACUCUCUCUUUCAAACGCCGCUCAAGACCUCUCUCUCUCUCGCCCGAUCUGUCUCUUCACGAGCUCCGCCGCGAGCUGCUCCGGCGAGGACGACGGCCAGCUGAGGGCGCUGCUUCUCGGCUGUUUCCUCCUCUCCUCAAUUCGUCUCCCUCGAGCCAGAUGAAGGGAUGGGAAAAGAAGCCCUAAUUUCGUCAAAAUCAGAAAUCGCUGUUGCUGCUCUUCCGAAAUCCGGCGAACGGCCGACGCCUUCGUCCAUGACGCCGCUGCGGUUCUGAAAUCUCAGGCGACGUUGUCGCCCCAAGGCCGACGUUGCUCCGCCUGAAAACGCCGCCGUCCUGUGAUUUCCGGUGAGCCGGCGCUGUCCUAGGCGCUGCUUCUUUCCUCCUCAACUCUCAACGGAAGACCGUAAUUUGAGGGAGAAAAGUCGAGCCCUAGCUCUCCCUUCUUCCGACGCGGUCAGCCACCGCCGCGCCUGAAAGACUGGUGGGGGUCGUCGCCUCCCUCUGGCUCGCUGACACGAGUCAGCCGCUGCUGUCGUUGCUAGACGUUCGGCGAAUCGGAGCAGUCUCUCAUAGCUCUGUCGACCCGUAUUGCUUUUCAACACCAUCUCCGUUCUCAGCCCAAACUCUCAAGGUUCGACCCCAGGUCCCCAACUCUCUCAUUUAUCUUACGGAAAUCCGCUCAUGAAACGGGGUCUCCGUCUCUUUCUCGCUGUUUCAGUGCCAUCGGAGGAAGGCUCCUCCACCUUGACGAACAGGGCAGCCUGCCUCCGCCUGAUCUCGUCUACCUCAUAAACAAAGGUGAAAUUUGGAUCGUAAGAAGAUAGUUAAAGAAUACUUACUUCCUUGAAGCUUCUUGGCAGAGGACGAAUGAAGAUUUCUGCCCUUCUGAAAUUCUAAGUGUGGAAAGAAGAGAAUGGAAAUUUGGGGUUAAAAUGUGAAGUUAAAAGAGAGUUGUUGGCUGCUAAAAUUUGACUAAAUGAGAAAGGUUGCAGAUUGAGAUGUUAAAAGGCGUAGAAGGUGGGCGUAAAAAGAAAUGGCCUGACCUGGAGAAUGGUGGGAAGAGUUCACAUGGUGGAGCUAUAGUUGUUGUAGGCCUUUUUUUUUUUUUUUUUUUUUUAUGAAUAUGCUAAUUUAUUAUAAUAGGAAGAUAGGGAGAAUGAAGGUAAAUGGAAGUUCCAAAAAUUGAAAUG